GGGGGGGGGUGGGGGGGGGGGGGGGGGGUGGGGGUCGGGGGAGGGCGACCGGUGCGUGCGCUGGUGAGUCUAGGGGCGAACGGGUGAGUAACACGUGGGUAGCCUGCCCAUCGGAGGGGGAUAACAUCCGGGAACGGGUGCUAGAACCGCAUAGGUCUUCGAGCCGCAUGGCUUGAAGAGGAAACGAGGGGCAGGCUUCUGCUGGUGGGUGGACCCGCGGUGCAUUAGCUAGUUGGUGAGGUAGCGUCUCCCCAAGGCCGUGGUGCAUAGCCGACCUGGGAGGGUGAUCGGCGACAUUGGGACUGAGCCACGGCCCAACCUCCUACGGGAGGCAGCAGUAGGGAAUCUUCCGAAAUGGACGCAAGUCUGACGGAGCAACGCCGCGUGAGUGAAGAAGGUUUUCGGAUCGUAAAACUCUGUUGUUAGAGAAGAACAAGUGCUAGAGUAACUGUUAGCGCCUUGACGGUAUCUAAACAGAAAGCCACGGCUAACUACGUG
rnacentral:rRNA from 1 species